rnacentral:rRNA from 1 species
CGGAUCCGCGCCGCUGCAGAGUUUGAUCCUGGCUCAGGAUAAACGCUGGCGGCGCACAUAAGACAUGCAAGUCGAACGGAAGUCGUUACAGUAGAAGUGGAAAGAAGAUUUAUCAGAUUGAAGCGGAAGUUGUAACAAUGGCUUUAGUGGCGGACUGGUGAGUAACACGUAAGUAACCUGCCUAUUAGAGGGGAAUAACAAUGAGAAAUCAUUGCUAAUACCGCAUAAGCUUGUAGCAUUGCAUGAUGUAGCAAGAAAAGGAGCAAUCCGCUAAUAGAUGGGCUUGCGGCUGAUUAGCUAGUUGGUUAGGUAAAGGCUGACCAAGGCAACGAUCAGUAGCCGGGCUGAGAGGCUCUGCGGCCACAUUGGGACUGAGAUACGGCCCAGACUCCUACGGGAGGCAGCAGUCGGGAAUAUUGCGCAAUGGAGGAAACUCUGACGCAGUGACGCCGCGUAUAGGAAGAAGGUUUUAGGAUUGUAAACUAUUUUAGACAGGGAAGAAAGAUGACAGUACCUGUAGAAUAAGCUCCGGCUAACUACGUGCCAGCAGCCGCGGUAAUACGUAGGGAGCAAGCGUUAUCCGGAAUUAUUGGGUGUAAAGGGUGCGUAGACGGGAAUACAAGUUGGUUGUGAAAUCCCUCGGCUCAACUGAGGAACUGCAACCAAAACUAUAUUUCUUGAGUGCAGGAGAGGAAAGCGGAAUUCCUAGUGUAGCGGUGAAAUGCGUAGAUAUUAGGAGGAACACCAGUGGCGAAGGCGGCUUUCUGGACUGUAACUGACGUUGAGGCACGAAAGUGUGGGGAGCAAACAGGAUUAGAUACCCUGGUAGUCCACACCGUAAACGAUGGAUACUAGGUGUAGGGAAUAAUAUAUUUUCUGUGCCGAAAGCUAACGCAAUAAGUAUCCCACCUGGGGAGUACGGCCGCAAGGUUGAAACUCAAAGGAAUUGACGGGGGCCCGCACAAGCAGUGGAGUAUGUGGUUUAAUUCGAAGCAACGCGAAGAACCUUACCAGGGCUUGACAUAUACCGGAAUAAUUAGGAAACUAGUUAGUCUUUCGGGACUGGUAUACAGGUGGUGCAUGGUUGUCGUCAGCUCGUGUCGUGAGAUGUUGGGUUAAGUCCCGCAACGAGCGCAACCCCUAUUUCUAGUUGCCAGCAUGUAAAGAUGGGAACUCUAGAGAGACUGCCGGUGAGAAAUCGGAGGAAGGUGGGGACGACGUCAAAUCAUCAUGCCCUUUAUGUCCUGGGCUACACACGUACUACAAUGGCCGUAACAGAGAGAAACGAAACAGUAAUGUGGAGUAAAACUUAAAAAAGCGGUCUCAGUUCGGAUUGAAGGCUGAAAUUCGCCUACAUGAAGUUGGAAUUGCUAGUAAUGGCAGGUCAGCAUACUGCCGUGAAUACGUUCCCGGGCCUUGUACACACCGCCCGUCACACCAUGAGAGUUGGAGAUACCCGAAGCCUGUGAGCUAACUUUUUAAGAGGCAGCAGUCGAAGGUAGAAUCAAUGAUUGGGGUGAAGUCGUAACAAGGUAACCCGGGCGGCCGCUC